rnacentral:rRNA from 1 species
UACGUAGGGGGCUAGCGUUGUCCGGAUUUAUUGGGCGUAAAGAGCGUGUAGGCGGCCAUGUAGGUCCGGUGUGAAAACUCGAGGCUUAACCUCGAGAUGUCAUCGGAAACCAUUUGGCUAGAGUCCGGAAGAGGAGAGUGGAAUUCCUGGUGUAGCGGUGGAAUGCGUAGAGAUCCGGAGGAACACCAGCGGCGAAGGCGGCAUCCUGGACUGGUCCUGACACUCAGGAGCGAAAGCGUGGGGAGCGAUCCGG